GAUGAACGCUGGCGGCGUGCUUAACACAUGCAAGUCGAACGAAGCACUUCAUAAAGUUUACUUUAAGAAGUGACUUAGUGGCGGACGGGUGAGUAACGCGUGGGUAACCUGCCUUACACAGGGGGAUAACAGUUAGAAAUGACUGCUAAUACCGCAUAAAACAGCAGAGUCGCAUGACUCAACUGUCAAAGAUUUAUCGGUGUAAGAUGGACCCGCGUCUGAUUAGCUGGUUGGUGGGGUAACGGCCUACCAAGGCGACGAUCAGUAGCCGGCCUGAGAGGGUGAACGGCCACAUUGGGACUGAGACACGGCCCAAACUCCUACGGGAGGCAGCAGUGGGGAAUAUUGGACAAUGGGCGAAAGCCUGAUCCAGCGACGCCGCGUGAGCGAUGAAGUAUUUCGGUAUGUAAAGCUCUAUCAGCAGGGAAGAAAACGACGGUACC
rnacentral:rRNA from 1 species